rnacentral:rRNA from 1 species
UGGGGAAUAUUGGACAAUGGGGGGAACCCUGAUCCAGCCAUGCCGCGUGUGUGAAGAAGGCCUUAUGGUUGUAAAGCACUUUAAGCGAGGAGGAGGGUACUGGUAUUAAUACUACCAGGUACUGGUCGUUACUCGCAGAAUAAGCACCGGCUAACUCUGUGCCAGCAGCCGCGGUAAUACAGAGGGUGCGAGCGUUAAUCGGAUUUACUGGGCGUAAAGCGCGCGUAGGUGGUUCGUUAAGUUGAAUGUGAAAGCUCCGGGCUCAACCUGGGAACUGCAUCCAAAACUGGCGAGCUAGAGUAGGGCAGAGGGUGGUGGAAUUUCCUGUGUAGCGGUGAAAUGCGUAGAUAUAGGAAGGAACACCAGUGGCGAAGGCGACCACCUGGGCUCAUACUGACACUGAGGUGCGAAAGCGUGGGGAGCAAACAGG